UACGGAGGGUGCAAGCGUUGCUCGGAAUUAUUGGGCGUAAAGGGUAGGUAGGUGGUCUCAUUUGUCUGGGGUGAAAGCCUUGAGCUUAACUCAAGAAGUGCCCCAGAAACGGUGAGACUGGAGUCCUGGAGAGGGUCGUGGAAUUCCCGGUGUAGCGGUGAAAUGCGUAGAGAUGUGGAGGAAUACCGAUGGCGAAGGCAGCCCCCUGGGAUAACACUGACGCUCAUGCACGAAAGCGUGGGGAGCAAACAGG
rnacentral:rRNA from 1 species